rnacentral:tRNA from 1 species
GGGCCCUUAGCUCAGUCGGUUAGAGCAGGGGACUCAUAAUCCCUUGGUCCAAGGUUCAAGUCCUUGAGGGCCCACCA